rnacentral:rRNA from 1 species
AGUGAACGCUGGCGGUAGGCCUAACACAUGCAAGUCGAACGGCAGCACAGGAGAGCUUGCUCUCUGGGUGGCGAGUGGCGGACGGGUGAGGAAUACAUCGGAAUCUACUCUGUCGUGGGGGAUAACGUAGGGAAACUUACGCUAAUACCGCAUACGACCUACGGGUGAAAGCAGGGGACCUUCGGGCCUUGCGCGAUUGAAUGAGCCGAUGUCGGAUUAGCUAGUUGGCAGGGUAAAGGCCCACCAAGGCGACGAUCCGUAGCUGGUCUGAGAGGGUGAUCAGCCACACUGGAACUGAGACACGGUCCAGACUCCUACGGGGGGCAGAAGUGGGGAAUAUUGGACAAUGGGCGCAAGCCUGAUCCAGCCAUACCGCGUGGGUGAAGAAGGCCUUCGGGUUGUAAAGCCCUUUUGUUGGGAAAGAAAUCCAGCUGGCUAAUACCCGGUUGGGAUGACGGUACCCAAAGAAUAAGCACCGGCUAACUUCGUGCCAGCCGCCGCGGUAA